UGGCUAUAUCAUGUUGAAACACGGGUUCUCAUACGAUCACCGAAGUUAAGCAACGUCGAGCCCGGUCAGUACCUAGAUGCGUACCCUUCAGGGAAUUCCAGGUGCUGUAAG